rnacentral:rRNA from 1 species
AUGGUGGACGGCCGGAGGAGGACGCCAGACCUGCCAGUCGUCGGUCUUUAUGAUGGCCCGUUCAAUGCCCUCUACCAGUGGCUGACCGAUGAUGACAAGGAGCUCAAGGUGGCAUCCGUUGUCGGUGUUGGGGGAAUCGGCAAGACCACGCUUGCCAAACAGCUAUGGCGUGAGCACAAACCCAGGGACUACUUUGGCUGCUGCGCAUUUGUGCGGACGGCCAAGAAGCCUGACAUGAGGAGGCUGCUCAGGAGCAUACUCGCACAAGUUCGUCCGCACCAACCACCCGCCACUAAUGAGGUGCACGAGCUGAUUCACGACAUCAAGCAGCAUCUACAAGGGAAAAGGUACUUUCUUAUAAUCGAUGAUUUAUGGGCUACCUCUGUAUGGGAUGUUGCUAGACGGGCUUUCCCGGAGGGUAAUCGAAGUAGGAUAAUAAUAACGACUGAAAUUAAGGAUGUUGCACUGGCGUGCUGUCGUUACCAGUCAAAAUCCAUCUAUAAGAUGGAACCUCUUAGCGUCAAUCACUCAGAAGAAUUGUUCAUCAGAGGAGUGUUUGCCUCUGGAGAAGAAAAAUCUCGCCAAUUGGAUAAAGUGUGGGAGAAGAUAAUAAGAAGAUGUGCUGGUUUACCACUGGCAAUUAUCAGCAUAUCCAGUAUUCUAGCAAGCCAAGGGGAAGCAAAUACAGUACAAGAAAGGGAGCAAAUACAGAACAUUUUACCAACAGAUACAACUCAUGUGGAGGUACUCAAACAAGUACUCAAUUUUUGCUACAAUUGUCUUCCCAGUCAUUUGCAGACAUGUCUGUUGUAUCUCAGUUUAUACCCAGAGAAUUAUAUAAUCUUGAAAGAAGAUAUAGUAAAGCAAUGGGUAGCUGAAGGUUUCAUCCUUGCACCAAGAGAGGAGGACAAAUUGAAGGUUGGCGGGAACUAUUUCGAUAAGCUUGUAAAUAUGGGCCUGAUCCAAUGUAUAGAUGUGGGCUAUAGUAAUGACGUAUAUUACUAUGCAGUGCACCCCAUGGCACACAAUCUUAUUACAUCGAAGUCCAGAGAAGAGAAUUUUAUGACGGUAAUAGAUUAUUCCGAAAGGACAAUGGGGUUUGCUAACAAGGUUAGUCGUCUGUCCCUCCAGUUUGGCAGUGCAACAUAUGCAACUAGACCAGAGAGCAUCGGACUGUCGCAAGUUCGACCACUUGCCUUUAUUGGACUAAAGAGCUGUUACUCUUCCAUUUUGGAGUUUAAGGUUCUACGAGUCCUGAUCCUUCACAUGUGGGCUGAUGAACCAAGCACCGGUGUGGACCUCAAGCCUACCUCUGAAUUGGCUCUUCUGCGAUCAUUGCAGGUCACAUGCAACGACACCGUACAUCUUCCAGAUCUGAUGCAAGGUCCGAAACACUUGGAAACACUAGAGAUAAAUGCAAGGGUGGCAGCUAUUCCAGCGAAUAUUGUUCAUCUUCGAAGCUGGUUGCAUCUGCGUCUCGGAGUUGGCACAGAAGUGCCCGAUUUGACGGGUACCCUGAAAAUUGUCACCACCCUGAAUCCUCCUAUUUCAUUGGACGAUCCAAGCUGUUCUUGCAAAUCAGGGAAGACAACGGAGUUUCUGUCACCCAUCUGUUCUUGCAAAUCAGUGAAGACACUGGAGUUGCUAUCACCCAUCUGCAGAGUCCCCAAGUGGAUUGGACAGCUUACCAACCUAUGCAUUUUGAAAUUUGUAGUGCGAGAACUCCAAAGAGAUGAUAUCAGUAACCUGCGAAAUUUGUCAUUUCUCGGUGUUCUCUCGUUGCAUGUCCAGCAACCAACUAGAGAACUCAUCUGCUUCGCAUCGGGAGCGUUUUCUGCUCUAGAGUAUUUUGAGUUCAGGUGUGGUGUACUGCGCCUGCUGUUUCGGGAAGGAACAAUGCCCAAUCUUGAGAGGCUUAAACUAGGUUUCAAUGCCUACCCAAGAGAUGGAUUUUUGCUUGUGGGUGUUGAAGAUCUGUUAAGCGUCAAGGAGAUUUCUGGAGUAAUCGGGCUAACCGCCGGUGCUGUGGAAAGUCACUUCAUGGCUGCAGAGUCUGUAUUCAGGAAAGCCAUGGGCAGGCACCCUAACCUGAGCGUAGAGAGAGAGGAAUUGUAUGCUGACGCAGAAAAACAGCACGAGAUCCACCCGUCAACAUCAAGUGAACAAACUGAAAGUCCAAGCAAGGAGUCUCAGGAUGUGCCUGGUUGGGCAGAAAAACAGCACCCGAUCCCAGGGAAACACACACCAGCAUCAGGUGAAGAGCAACAUUACCAGACAGAAAUAAAACAACAUUCCAGCAGCGACUCUCAACUCAUUAAAAGAUCACCAGCAUCAUUGAGAAUUUAUGGAAACGAUGGUCUAGACCAACUGUUAGUUUCCAAUAAAGAAACAGGUCUAGAGACGCUGAGACUCUUUAGCUGCCCACCUCUGGAGUUGAAGCACCUUCUGAUGCUAACCUCGCUGAAGACAUUGUGUGUACAGAAUUCAGUUGGUCUAGUUGGACCACUAGGAGGAGGUCAGAGUGAUGUGGAAUGGCAGCUUCCUGUUGAGUAUAUCCGGAUCAACAACUUAAAUGGCAAUACUGGCGAGGAACUGACAGAGCUCCUCCCCCACCUCCCAAAGCUCUCCAAAUUGGAAAUAUGGAAGUGUAAAAACAUAAAAAAGCUGGUUGUAGAGGUGGAUGUGCAACAGACAACAUCAGAAGCAUCAGAGAUGGGGGGAGGUGAAAUAACAGCAGCAGCAGCAUCAGAGAUGGGGGGAGGUGAAAUAACAGCAGCAGCAGCAGAGGAAGAGGAUGAUGGAGUGCUGCUCUUCCCAGCUCAUCUCUGCGACUCACUACGGGAAUUGAAGCUCCUUUCCUGCCCAGAGCUGGUCCUGGUGGACCCGCCAACUCUUGUUCCUGGAGGAGGAGGGCUCCAAGCUUUGCGAUCCCUCCAGAGAUUAACAAUACACCGGUCCCCAAAGUUUCUAUCCACCUUCUCCUUUUCCCAUCACAUUUUCCCUUCCUCCCUGCAGUUUCUGCUACUUUGGGAUGUGAAAGGUUUGAGGACACUGGAGCCCCUCUCAAACCUCUCCUCUCUCACCAAAUUAGAAUUGCAUCGUUGUGGAGAGGAUCUGAAAUGUCAUGGCUUGUGGUCUCUCCUUACCACCGGAGGCCAGCUCAACGAAUUAGUGGUCAGGGGCAGCCCUCGAUUCUUUGCUGAUUGGGAUCCCAAUCCCAGACGGGCUUUGGAGGAUGCUGAGGGAGGUGAAGAGCAGCAGACACAGCUUGUUUCAUCCACACUGCGUGAGCUCUGGACAGAUGACAUAGCAGGACUUCUUGCUGCACCCGUCUGCAGUUUCCUCUCUUCAUCCCUCACCAAGCUGAAACUUGAUGGGAGAUGGUGUGAAGGGAUGGAGCGGUUCAGCAAGGAGCAAGAGGACGCCCUUCAACUCCUCUCCUCCCUCCGGGAACUAGAGUUUUGGGAUUUCAAGGGCCUUCAACAAUUCCCUGCAGGGCUGUGCAACCUUACCAGCCUCGAGGAGUUAACAAUCUACGAUUGCCCAGUCAUUUCUUCAUUGCCUAACGAUGGCCUCCCCAAAUCACUACAAAAGCUAGUUGUCUACCACUGCAGCGAGAAGCUAAAACAGCAGUGCAGGGGGUUGGAGGGAACCAUCCCAACAGUCCAAAUACUCUGA